GCCUGACUGGACACUGAAAAAGAGGUGAAGAGAUGAGGCGAUAGAACAAAAGAACAGAAAGAUAAUGAAGCUGAGACUAACAUAAUUAUGUAUGCAGCCACAAAUGGAGCACAAAGCAAUUACUGCUUGUGGGAAUUUGAGAGAUGCUCUUUGAAGAGGUGUGAGGGAAUCAGUAAUACUUGCAGUGACUUUUAAGGAGGUGGAGUGUGCUGAUGAAGAUGCCACAAAGAACUGAUGGGAAGUUAUUCCUCUCCCCAACUGCUAUUGUAUCCUUCCUGUAGUGCUGUCUCUGCUUUUUGCAUCUUGCCCAGUAUAUUAUGACACAAAUAAAAAUUCUCUUUUCAUCAUCUUGC
rnacentral:lncRNA from 1 species